rnacentral:tRNA from 1 species
GUCCGUAAUGGUAAACGGAAUUACAUACGCGAAAGAAAAUCGGCCUUCUAAGCCGUAGGUCGGGAGUUCGAAUCUCUCCUGGGACA